GGCUGCGCCCGCGGCCCGGCACACGGCGCCGCUCAGGGGCGCGAGCUGCGGGGCGAAGUCGUUGGUCUCCGUCAGAGUGACGGCGAGCGUGGCGGUGGUCGACACGCCUCCCACAUCUGCGUCAAUCAGCACAAGCGCCUUGCUGUUGGACUCACUGAGGCAGGGCUGAACUGUGGCCGGUGGUUGUUGAUAUCGGACACAUGUAUAAUGGCUUCACCUUCGCUUGUCAGGCCCAUUCCCCCCAUGUCGGCCACUUGGAGCUUCAGCCGGAAGCUCUUCACCACCUUCAACACAACACAAGCCAUUGAAAUGCCCACCUCCUAAGCUGAGCCUCCUAAGAUGAGCCUCCUAAGCUGAGCCUCCUAAGGUGAGCCUCCUAAGCUGAGCCUCCUAAGAUGAGCCUCCUAAGCUGAGCCUCCUAAGCUGAGCUGACCCACCUCUCGGUCCAGGCCUACGUCUCUGGUGUAGAUGGUCCCCGUCUCAUUGUUGAUGCCAAACAUGACCUUGCUGAUGGCGUUGGCGGGGAAGCUCUCCUGGCCAAUGAUGGAGUAGCUCAGAGCGGCGUUGUCUGUCAUUGGGUCAUCGGCAUCCGCGGCUGACACUGACAUCACUGAC